UACAGAGGGUGCAAGCGUUAUCCGGAUUUACUGGGUUUAAAGGGUGCGUAGGCGGGGAAUUAAGUCAGUGGUGAAAUGUAGUCGCUUAACGACUAACGUGCCAUUGAUACUGGUUUUCUUGAGUUAUAGUGAGGUUGGCGGAAUGAGACAUGUAGCGGUGAAAUGCUUAGAUAUGUCUUAGAACACCGAUUGCGAAGGCAGCUGACUGGCUAUAAACUGACGCUGAGGCACGAAAGCGUGGGGAUCAAACAGG
rnacentral:rRNA from 1 species